UAAAACGCUCUUCCUUCUGCUAGGUAAUUGUAGAGCAGAUCGUUGAGUCUCAUCCGGACGGCCUGAAGAUCAUGUAUGCUAAUAAGCUCCUGGAGUUCGUUCCUCACCACUGCCGCCUUCUUUGAGAGGUCACAGGAGGAGCCAUCUCAAGGAUGGUGGAGGGGUACGUGGCUGAGUACCUCCCUGGUCUGACCCUGUGUGACGCCACCCGGUGCUUGCAGCUGCCCUCUGGAAGGUGUUGCGUUAGCGGCAGAGCCGGAGGGCACCAAGCAUGUGUCUGUCUCCAAAGUCCUGGGCACCACAUCACAAUGCCUUCCUGAGAAGCAGAAUCAAGGACAGUUGCUGAUCUUCAUUCUUUCCCACCAAAGUUUCAGAUCCAGUUUUGACUAUUGUUAUGGGCUUAGUUGGAUGCCCCCAGAUUCCUACGUUGAUGUCCUAACACCCAGCAUCUCAGAAUGUGGCAGUAUUCAGAGAUGGGAUUUUUAAAGAGGUGAUAAAGGGAAAACGAGCUCACUGGGGGUGGGCACCAAGCCAACAGGACUGGUGUGCUUACAGGAAGAGGAGAUUAGGACACAGACAAUACAGACUGAAGGACAAUCGUUUGAAGACAGAGUGGAGAACACAGCUAUUUGCAAGCCAAGGAGAGACGUUUGAAGAAUCGAACCCUAUUGCCACCUUGAUCUUGGACUUCCAGCGCCCAGAACCAUGAGAAAAUAAAUUGUAUGUUG